rnacentral:rRNA from 1 species
GACGAACGCUGGCGGCGUGCUUAACACAUGCCAGUCGAACGGUGAAGGGACCGGUUUUUGCUGGUUCUGGAUGAGUGGCGAACGGGUGAGUAACACGUGAGUAACCUGCCCCCUUCUUCUGGAUAACCGCAUGAAAGUGUGGCUAAUACGGGAUAUUCUGCGCCUGCUGCAUGGUGGGUGUGGGAAAGAUAUUGUUUCGGUGGGGGAUGGGCUCGCGGCCUAUCAGCUUGUUGGUGGGGUGAUGGCCUACCAAGGCGGUGACGGGUAGCCGGCCUGAGAGGGUGGACGGUCACACUGGGACUGAGACACGGCCCAGACUCCUACGGGAGGCAGCAGUGGGGAAUAUUGCACAAUGGGCGCAAGCCUGAUGCAGCGACGCCGCGUGAGGGAUGGAGGCCUUCGGGUUGUAAACCUCUUUCGCCAGUGAAGCAGGACUGUCCCUUUUGUGGGUGGGUUGACGGUAGCUGGAUAAGAAGCGCCGGCUAACUACGUG